rnacentral:rRNA from 1 species
UGGGGAAUAUUGGGCAAUGGAGGAAACUCUGACCCAGCGACGCCGCGUGCGGGAUGAAGGCCUUCGGGUUGUAAACCGCUUUCAGUAGGGAAGAAGCGAAAGUGACGGUACCUACAAAAGAAGCACCGGCUAACUAUGUGCCAGCAGCCGCGGUAAUACAUAGGGUGCAAGCGUUGUCCGGAAUUAUUGGGCGUAAAGAGCUCGUAGGUCGUUUGUUACGUCGGAUGUGAAAACCUGAGGCUCAACCUCAGGCCUGCAUUCGAUACGGGCAAACUAGAGUUUGGUAGGGGAGACUGGAAUUCCUGGUGUAGCGGUGGAAUGCGCAGAUAUCAGGAGGAACACCAAUGGCGAAGGCAGGUCUCUGGGCCAAUACUGACACUGAGGAGCGAAAGUCUGGGGAGCGAACAGGAUUAGAUACCCUGGUAGUCCAGACCGUAAACGGUGGGCACUAGGUGUGGGAUUCUAUUAACGAAUUCCGCGCCGUCGCUAACGCAUUAAGUGCCCCGCCUGGGGAGUACGGUCGCAAGACUAAAACUCAAAGGAAUUGACGG